UACGUAGGGGGCAAGCGUUGUCCGGAAUCAUUGGGCGUAAAGCGCGUGUAGGCGGCCACGCAGGUCCGUUGUGAAACUAGAGGCUCAACCUCUAGACGUCGACGGAAACCGUGUGGCUAGAGUCCGGAAGAGGAGAGUGGAAGUUCCUGUGUAGCGGUGAAAUGCGCAGAUAUCAGGAAGAACACCAAUGCGAAGGCAGCUCUCGUGGGACGGUACUGACGCUGAGACGCGAAAGCGUGGGAGCGAACA
rnacentral:rRNA from 1 species